rnacentral:rRNA from 1 species
AUUUUAUGUACGGCUGUUAAGCUUUAAUUUGAUUAUUUUUGCUAUAAAAUUUUUCUUAAAGUUCAGGUCUAUGUGUAGAGAAUAGAUUGGUUUUUAAUUAGUUACCCUAAUAGGGAUAGGUUUUUAUUUACUUAUUAAAUAUGGAUGUGAAAGUAAAAUAAGAAUAAAAUUCUUGUUUGAUUAGGACCUAGUGAAAGUACAUAUCGCUCGUCACUCUUUGAUAGAUAAGUCGUAACAAAGUAGGGGUACCGGAAGGUGUCUCUUGUUU